GGCAGGUGCCACUUAGUGGUACAAUUUACUGUCAGUGAACACACCUUGGAGUCUAAUCGGAUCCCCUUGACUCCACGGCUGGCAGGAAACUUGUUGUUCCUUCCCGGGCAUGUCCGACACGCUGGUACAGUUUACUGUCAGGCUGUGGACAAAAGACAUGGUCAGAAUAUGAAAUGUACUGCAGCGCUGUCUCUGUGAGAGGAAAAGGGUCAAUCAUGGGACUGUA